AUUGAACGCUGGCGGCAGGCCUAACACAUGCAAGUCGAACGAGUGGCGGACGGGUGAGUAAUGUCUGGGAAAAUGCCCGAUGGAGGGGGAUAACUACUGGAAACGGUAACUAAUACCGCAUACCAUCGGAUGUGCCCAGAUGGGAUUAGCUAGUAGGUGGGGGAAAGGCCUACCAAGGCGACGGACCGUAAAUGGUCUGAGAGGAUGAUCAGUAACACUGGAACUGGGACACUGUCCAGACUCCUACGGGAUGCAGCAGGGGGGAAUAUUGGACAAUUGGCGAAAGCCUUAUCCAGCCAUGCCGCUUGUGGGAAGAAGGUCUUCGGAUUGUAAAGCACUUUAAGUUGGGAGGCGUUACCAACAGAAUAAGCACCGGCUAACUUCGUGCCAGCAGCCGCGGUAAUUC
rnacentral:rRNA from 1 species